GAGAGAGAGAGAGAGAAGCGGAGGCUGGGGGCUGGUGGACUCAUCAAGCUUCCAUCUAUGAUGCAUCUCGCUGCUCUCCACGGCUCCAAAGGUCAGCUGAGAAAACAAUCUCUUUCUGGCUCCUCCAGCCGACGUAAAAUACAUCAAGACGCUCAGGCAUAAGGAAAAAAGGCAAAACCACUACAUUUAAUGCUAGGAGCCACUGCUACUGCUCUUCUGCACUUGAGUUCUGGAUUUAUUUAUUCAUUGAAAGAAAGUAUAAAUGCAUCUUGUCUUUUUCACAGUAAGCAUUCUAUCAUUGAAAAAUUCUCCUGUCUGGAAAAAAAAUGACA